GCGUUGCUGUUUGAGUGUUCAAGGGACGACCCACGCCCUUCCACACCCUGGGUCGCCUUCUGACGCUUUCCUUUCCACCUCCAAAGCAAAACAGAAGUAUGCGAAGCCCCCUCCCACCCCCGACCCCUACACUUCUUGCAGCAAGUUUGCUUUCCUGUCUAGGAAUGGGCACAUAGAUUUCUGACCCAAGUACAGUUGCAGGUUUUAUCUGGAUCCGUCCAUAAACACAAACACUCAGCGAGAAAUGUAUAUAAAACGCGGCGGCGUGUGCGGGUGAGCGAGUUGGCUCAGUGGGUGAGGGUGCAAGCCUGAAGACCUGAGUUUGAUCCCAGGGAUCCACAUACUGGAAGGAGAGAGAACCAGAACCAACUCCAGCAAAUUGUCCUCUAACUUCCACACACACUCCCCUGUACUAAUUAAUUAAUUAGAAAGAAGAAACAUUACUUGGUUUGGGGGGUAGGACCCAGUAGUUAGAAUAAUUAUAAUUAUUAAUGGAAGAAUUCCAUAGCAAGAUAUGGUAACACUGAAACUAGGAAGAAGGCAGGCAGAUCUCUGUGAGCAAAGUCCAAACUGGUCUGGACAGCAAGUUCCAGACUAGCCUGGGCUACACAGAUUCUGUUUCCUCCUCCUCUUCUUUCCUUCUUUCUUUCUUUUCUUUCCUUUUCUUCUUUUGUUUUGUUUCUGUUUCUGUUUGUUUUGUUUUUCAAGACAAGGUUUCUCUGUGUAGCCCUGGUUGUCCUGGACUCUGUAGACCAGGCUGGCCUAGAACUCAGAGAUCUGCCUGCCUCUAACUCCUGAGUGCUGGGAUUAAAUGUUGAGUGUUUACUACCACCCCACUACCACCUGUCAAGAGACCCUGUUUCAAAGCUAAAGUUGAAAUUAUUUUAAAUAAUUCAUCUGAGAAUCAAUGGGUUCCUUCCUGUGUUGACAGAAAUGUUGAUUUUUGGUUUAUUUCCUUAGGCACCUGCUGGUACCGCUUUAUCCUGUUACAAGGAGUUGAACACACAGAAGGGCAUCUCUUCCCUCGAAGCAAAACCAACCACAUGUGGCCUUUUUCCCCUCUUGACACUGGAUGGCUAAACCAGAAGGCUGUCUGCCAUGGAUAGAGAAGUUUUGAUGAAUCAAAGGCUUAGGGAUUUUCUAAAAGGGACUCAGAUUCUGUCCCUGCCUAGCUCCCUGCAGAACAAACCAGGGCUAGUGUGUUGGCUUAGUGCAUGCAGCCAGGACUGACCUGAUGUGAGUUCAAAUCCGAGGACCCACAUGAGAGGAGAGAACUCGUCCCUGUGACCUGCACAUUCAUAUUGUGAUGUGUCACAGGCAGUAAUAAAAAAGUAAAUAAUACAUAAUGCAAAACAAACUACCAGAAGCUGAACCGUGAGACAGGAGAGAGAACGGGACACACUGCAUUGGGUUGGUAGGGUACCUGGCUUCGUCCCCAGCAUCACGUAAACCAAGCCUGUUGUCACAAUCUGUGGUCUCAGCACUCCCCGAGGGAGGCAGGAGGACCAUGAGGAUAGCCUCAGCUACACAGAUAGUAGAAGCCAGAAGACAGAAAGGUGUAAAAAGCUGCUUUUGUGAGUUGAUUUCUCUCGGUUUUUGUUUGUUUGUUUGUUUGUUUGUUUUUGAGACAGGGUCUCUCUAUUACAUGGCUCUGGCUGUCCUGGAACCCACUAUGUAGGCCAGGCUGGCCUCAAACUCAGAGAGAUCCAUCUGCCUGUCAAAGACAUGUGCCACCGCCCGAACAGCUUGGUUCUUUUUCUCCCUUGAGUUUUGAGGCGCUUAUGCGUGUGCUCACACGUAUAUGUAGGCCAGAGUUCAACGUCAGGUGUCCUCCUUGGUUGCCUCUCACCUAAUUAAAACUCAUGGUAUUACUGAAUUUUGUGUGUGUACACACAUGCCCAUGAGUGCUGGGGGUCAGCUAACAGCUUACAGAAGUCCGUUUUCUCCUGAGUGGGUCUCCGUCCCAGCCUGCCACACAUGGCAGUUCACACAUGGCAGCUCCCUGGCUUGGCAACAGGAGACUCACUAUAAAUAACCUGUAACUCCUGGGCUCAGUGAUCCCCUUUCUCUGUCUCCUGAACAGCUGGGACUCCCCCUCCUCUGCCUUGCCCUCCCCACUGGGCCUCCUUAGAGUCACCAGGAAGGAAUCUCUUCCCUGAAGUCAAGCUGUGUGCUGAGCUGGUCACAGUGGCCGGGGCCUUCCAUGAGGCUGCGGAAAACUCUCUUCCCUGUCCCUGAGGUCACAGAAGUCAUCGAGCUCCUCUUCCUGUGCACAGCCUGCUUGAAAGAAUUAUUAAUGCUAAAACGUGUGUGUGUGUGUGUGUGUGUGUGUCCUUGAGCACAUGCAGAUAAAUGCUGGUAGAAACCAGACAGAAGAGAGCAUCUCAUUCCUUGGAGUUGGACUUGCCCAGAGGAUGUGUGUGGGAAGCCGUUGCAGAGUGGCAGUUACAGAGUGGCAGUUGCAGAGUGGCAGUUGGCUACUGCUGGC